rnacentral:lncRNA from 13 species
UUCCUCUGAUUUCAUUGAUACAGGAUUUUGUGUUUUAAGGAAUAUGGGACAGGUGCUUAUAGACUGUUCUCGUGAUUACACUUGAGUUCUCGGUUUUUGAGGGAGGAAGACCACAGAGCUAAAGUGCUGUUCUUAUUAUAUCAUAGAUGUGUACUGUCAACAUUAGUUAUCACAAUUGAUACCAACCAUCUUCAGCUGACUGAGGUACCGCCGAUGAAACCCUGCUUUACUUACCCUUUUAGCCAUUUGUAAAUUUUCAUGGCCGUGGGACAGACAAGCACCCCAUCUUUAGCUGAACUUAGGAAAAGUCCUGCAACAUUUUUGGUGCCCAACAUGGAACUCAAGAAGCGAUGAAAGCUGUAUAAUGGAGGAAAAAACUGAACUAAGGCAAGAAUAUGAGCAAAAAGGUGAAGAAAUACAUUUUUGUAUCUGGAGUGAAAUGCAAGUACCAUUGAAACCCAUUCCAUUAUUUAAUUUCCUAGUUAUCCUCAUUGCUCAUCCACUAAUUUUUACAGCAUAAAAUUUAAAUACAGAAAUAUUUAACUGUUAGAAAGGAAAACAUGAGAGCCAAGUUAUACUUUUUUUUUCUAUUGAGUGUCUGUUUUAUGCAUUUAAGAAACAAUUCUGUUUUGUUUUUUCAUUAACAUGGCUGAUUAAAAACAAUGGACACCACUUCUCCUCAGAAAGAAGAACCAAAAUUACAGCUAGAUUUAGUUUUUCUUCCAAAGAGUCGGCUAACUGAGAAUUUUCUCCAAAGCCCAAGAAGAUGGCCAGUAACCUACCUCAGAGACACACGGAAAGAGAAACAAAGACUGCAGUAUCAUUAGGACUCUACUCAUUGCUGGCUGGAUAUGAAAAAGGAGGAAGCAAUUCAUACGCCAAAGAAGCAAUGUGUAUGACCUGUAAUAGCUGGAGAAGCUAGAAACAAAUUUUACUCUGGAGCCUCCAAAAAGAAAUGCAGUCUUUCCAAUACUGCUUUUUACCAAAUGAGACCAGGGCCAUUUUAUUGCCUAAGACAAUAAAAUUGUAUUGGUUAAGUCA